ensembl:lncRNA
UGCAGCAGCGCCUGUAACUAGGCAACCAGAGGCAGGACGGGCAGGACCUGGUAGGAGCGGGUAGGACCGGCAGGACCAGACAGGACCGGGCAGGACCGGGCAGGACCGGGUAGGACCGGGUAGGACCGGGCAGGACCAGACAGGACCAGAGUGAAAGUAGCAGUUCCUCCUGAAGGUCAGAGAUUGCAGCAUCUGAGGGCCUCUUCAAAAGAAGACGUAGUUGAUGAAGGCGUUCUGGAGCAGGACCAGAAAGACCACGACCAAGCAGCCUUGAGAUCUGAGGCAGCGUCUCCCUCAGGUCCCUCUCUAUCUCCCUACACAUCCACCAACCACUGGAACACAUCUCCAAAGUUCUGCUGGACCAGCUCAGCUUCCCCUCAGAAGAAGUGGUGCCACCUGCCAGAUGAAGGAGCCUUUUGAGAGGCAGCUGGCAUCAUGAUUGGACUGUACUUUGGUCUGUUCCAAUCCAGCUUCAGCUCCAGAGACGGCAGGCGGGACGAGUCAACGGAGGCCGGAUGGACGAAGGCAUGAAGCUGAGUACAAUCCAGAAAACAACAGAGGAGGAGUGCAGCAGCCCAGAGCCAGAACAACCAGAGUAGCAUCGUAUGUCUCUUAGAAAACAUCAUAGUAUAGCCUUUGGGAUGAAAAAACGCCAUCAUAUACAUCGUAGAUUGUACAAAUAACAGGUCAAAGGAAAGAGACAUACAUUGUAGAAUUGUAGUAAUUGUGGGCUGACUGAUUUACUGAUUAUCAGUAUUUUAUUUUUUACUGAUUUACGGUAAUAAAUACAUUUAAAAUGACGCUACUUUGGCUCUGAACCUUUAUCUACCUGUGGUCGCUCUGUCUUCUGGAGUGAUUUGAUUGGUUAUACAUCUCGAAUAAAACUCCUUUAACUUAACAUCUGUAAACAAAACAAAAACAUAUCAACAAAGUUUUCUGUUAGAGUUUGUGUUUUUGUAAGUUUAACUCAAGAUUUUAAAUACUUUCAUUUACUGCAAAUGAAUAUCUACUCCAAAUGUUUCACUAAUAAUCAUUAUCAGCCUUAAAAACCCACAAAACACCCCUCUAUACUUCACCACACUUAGUACAGUCCGGUUCCCCCUUCUAUAAAUCUGCUUGGAAUCUUCCACUUCCUGUUUGUCAAAGUGGCCUUCUACCUGGACAGGUUUUGUUGGAGCUCAUGCAACAAACAUUUUGGG